rnacentral:rRNA from 1 species
GACGAACGCUGGCGGCGUGCUUAACACAUGCAAGUCGAACGGUGAAGCGCCUUCCUUUUUGGUGGGUGUGGAUGAGUGGCGAACGGGUGAGUAACACGUGAGUAACCUGCCCCCUUCUUCUGGAUAACCGCAUGAAAGUGUGGCUAAUACGGGAUAUUCUGGGUCUGUCGCAUGAUGGGUCUGGGAAAGAUAUUGUUUCGGUGGGGGAUGGGCUCGCGGCCUAUCAGCUUGUUGGUGGGGUGAUGGCCUACCAAGGCGGUGCCGGGUGGCCGGCCUGAGAGGGUGAGCGGCAAUGGAGGGGAUGCGCGGCGGAGCAGACUACGACGGGCGGCAGUGGUGAAGAUUAGAGCACGGGGGGAGGACGGCUGAAGCAGCGACGCCUGGUGGGAGAUGGUCGCCGGCGUGUUGAGAACCUCUUUCGGGGGUGAAGGGGGGCUGGCUCGUAUGUGGGUGGGUUGACGGUAGCUAGAUAAGAAGCGCCGGCUAACUACGUG